GACACGACUCUCGACAAUGGAUAUCUCGGCUCUCGCAUCGAUGAAGAGCGCAGCGAAAUGCGAUACGUGGUGCGAAUUGCAGAAUCCCGCGAACCAUCGAGUCUUUGAACGCAAGUUGCGCCCGAGGCCAGUCGGUCGAGGGCACGUCCGCCUGGGCGUCGAGC
rnacentral:rRNA from 1 species